GUGGGGGGGGCAAUGGGGUGUGGGGUGGGACCCCAAUGGGAUCCCAUAGGGAGGGGGAUGGGGGCUCAAUGUGUGGGGCAAUGGGGUGUGGAGUGGGACCCCAUUGGGGGACCUCAUAAACUUUGGGGUUCUCCAUAUUGGGGUCCCUACACUGGAGUGGGGACCCCAAUGUGUGGGGCAAUGGGGUGUGGGGUGGGACCCCAUUGGGGGACCCUAUAAAGUGUGGGGUUCUCCAUAUUGGGGUCCCUACACUGGAGUGGGGACCCCAAUGUGUGGGGCAAUGGGGUGUGGGGUGGGACCCCAUUGGGGGACCCCAUAAAGUGUGGGGCUCUCCAUCAUUGGGGUCCUAUUGGGAGGGGAAUGGGGGCUCAAUGUGGGGGGUAAUGGGGUGUGGGGUGGGACCCCAUUGGGGGACCCCAUAAGGUGUGGGGUUCUCCAUAUUGGGGUCCUAUGGGGAGAGGAAUGGGGGCUCAAUGUGUGGGGUAAUGGGAUAUGGGGUGGGGUGGGACCCCAUUGGGAUCCCAUAGGGGGGGAAUGGGGCUCAAUGUGUGGGGUAAUGGGAUGUGGGGUGGGACCCCAUUGGGUGACCCCAUAAACUUUGGGUCCCCCAUUAUUGAGCCAUGGGGUGACCCCAUAAACUUUGGGCCCCCAUUAUAGGGCUAUAAGGUGACCCCAUAAACUUUGGGCCCCCCGUUAUUGGGAUUUUGGGGUCCCCUAUUAUAGGGCCAUGGGGUGACCCCAAUUUAGGGUCCCCCCCGAUGGGAUUUGGGGUCCCCCAUUACAGAGCUAUGGGGUGACCCCGUAAACUUUGGGCCCCCAUUAUAGGCCUAUAAGGUGACCCCAUAAACUUUGGGCCCCCCAUUAUUGGGGUCCCCCUUUAUAGGGCUAUGGGGUGACCCCAAUGUUUGGGUCCCCCCCAAUGGGAUUUGGGGUCCCCCAUUACAGAGCUAUGGGGUGACCCCAUAAACUUUGGGCCCCCCAUUAUUGGGGUCCCCCUUUAUAGGGCUAUGGGGUGACCCCAAUGUUAGGGUCCCCCCGAUGGGAUUUGGGGUCCCCCCUCACCUCUCUUUGCCGUCGCCCCCAUUAUUGGGGUCCCCCAUUAUAGGGCCAUGGGGUGACCCCAAUUUAGGGGUCCCCCCGAUGGGAUUUGGGGUCCCCCCUCACCUCUCUUUGCCGUCGCCCUCCAUGUCCAACGAUUGGCUGAGGAACUCCUCCAGGUCGAAGCCCACCCCAUAUCCCGCCCCGCUGCCUUUUGGGGUCACCGAGAAGACGGGGGGCAAAAUGUCCUCCACCUUUAUGGGGGAAAAGGGGGGGGGGGGGGGAAGAGAGGACCCCAAAAACGUGACCCCAAAAUGGAGACCCCAAAUCCAUGACCCCAAAUUAAGAUCACCAACCCAUCCUAAGACCCCAAAUGGAGACCCCAAUUCUCUGACCCCAAAUGGAGACCCCCAACCCAUCCUGUGAUCCCAAAUGGAGACCCCAAAUCCAUGACCCCAAAUGGAGACCCCCAA
ensembl:lncRNA